rnacentral:rRNA from 1 species
CGUCAAAUCAUCAUGCCCCUUAUGACCUGGGCUACACACGUGCUACAAUGGAUGGUACAAAGGGUUGCGAAGCCGCGAGGCCAAGCCAAUCCCAAAAAGCCAUUCUCAGUUCGGAUUGUAGGCUGCAACUCGCCUACAUGAAGCCGGAAUUGCUAGUAAUCGCGGAUCAGCAUGCCGCGGUGAAUACGUUCCCGGGCCUU